UGGAACGCGGAGUAUAGGGUUUCAUUGAUGAGAAAUCUGGAAAGAGCGGCACCGGCGGAGGACCUAGUGAAGGAGACGGAGGAGGGCGCUAGUCACCGGCACGGAGAGGUGGUGAAGAAUAAUAUUGAGGAGGGAGAGGGUGGAAAUGGUGAAUAUGAAGAACUAGAGAAGAUAAGUCCGAGGGUUUUUGAGGAUUUGUCGCCGGAGGCUUUGAAGUAUAUUGAGAAGCUGCAAGCUGAGUUAUCUGAUAUGGAGGAGGUGAGGAUUUUAGACUUUUUAUGUAAUUACAAAUUUUGUAAUUAAUUAUAAAAUCAGUCUCUCUCACACACAUACAUAUACUAUAUUUACAAAUAAUGCGAUUGAGGGUUAAAAGAUGCAAAAUUUGAAGCUCAUGUUCUUUUCUUUUUAGAAGUGAUUAAAAAUUUGUUAUACUUGCUUAAUAUGUAAAUUAAUGAAAGAGAAAUGAAGUUAGAUGAUUCUUGGUCAAUUUGGAAAUAGUUGUCUUUGAGAAAAUUUAACUCUGGAUUUUUCUUGACUUUAAACAUACCAAUUGGUUAUUUGAAUUCCGGUUUGUCUUGAUUGCAUUUCUUCUUCUUGACUGUGUCUCUUGUUAUUAAGGUGCUCUAGCAACAAACAUGUUUUGGCAAUCAAUUUUAUACUGCUCUUUUCUUUCUUGUUAUGUGCUAUAAAGAAAGUUUUUAUACAUAUCCGAGCUUUCCUGUAAUGGUGAAUCCUUCGUUCCUCCAUUUGAUGGGUCAUGGUACCUAACUCAUUGUCAAUAGCUCGAUAUAAUGUGUUCUCCGUGUUCCCUCUAUAUAAGAUUUAUGUCGUUUCAGGAACUGAGUGCUCAAAAGAAGGAAAAUGUGCGAAUGGAGUGUGGCAGGGAAAACAUGAAUGGUUUGUUAGAGUAUUUACGAUCCUUGGAUGCUGACAUGGUAAGAGCUGGAAAGUGUUUCUUUAAUAGAUUGUCAUGUUGUGAAACUGAAUUAACUUUGUUUGAUCGUACAAUUUACUUGAAACUUUCUCAUUGUUUGUACUUUUUAUUUUUCAGGUGACAGAAUUAUCCCAACCAUCAUCGGUACAAGUGGAGGAAAUGAUCCAUCAGCUUGUUCAGAAUAUAUUGCAAAGGUUCUUCAAGGAUGCCUGUAUGAGAGAUUCAGGGAUAGUAAACACGGGAAAUCUUCAAGAUGCUGCUGAUGAAACUUGUG
rnacentral:lncRNA from 1 species